rnacentral:rRNA from 1 species
AACGCUAGCGGCAGGCUUAACACAUGCAAGUCGAGGGGUAACAUUGUGCUUGCACAGAUGACGACCGGCGCACGGGUGCGUAACGCGUAUAGAACCUACCUUUUACAGAGGAAUAGCCUUUAGAAAUGAAGAUUAAUGCCUCAUGGUAUUGUAGACUGGCAUCAGUUUAUAAUUAAAGAUUUAUCGGUAAAAGAUGGCUAUGCGUCCUAUUAGUUAGUUGGUAAGGUAACGGCUUACCAAGACAGCGAUAGGUAGGGGUCCUGAGAGGGAGAUCCCCCACACUGGUACUGAGACACGGACCAGACUCCUACGGGAGGCAGCAGUGAGGAAUAUUGGACAAUGGAGGAGACUCUGAUCCAGCCAUGCCGCGUGUAGGAAGAAUGCCCUAUGGGUUGUAAACUACUUUUAUACAGGAAGAAACACUGGUAUGUAUACCAGCUUGACGGUACUGUAAGAAUAAGGACCGGCUAACUCCGUGCC